GGUUCGACUGGGGCUGGGGAAAGGAGUGGAGAGUGUGUGGACAGCAAAAACCUCCUCAGAGCAGCCCCAGAACCGGUGUUUGCUCUUCUGGACAGAGUUUGGUACCGCUGGUUCCCUGCUGGCUUUGUGAGCCAAACACGAGCGUUCCUGUGGAAAAGCUCACACGGUUCCUUCCAGCCAAGGGACGAGGCUCCCGUGGCUGGGGCUGGAGCGGUCUCUGGGCAGUGAUGGAUGGCAGAUGGGCACAGCAGAGAGCUGGGGCAGGCUGAGAUGGAGCAGUAUCAGCACACCUGAGGAUGUGGUUCCAUGUGCUUCCAAGGCAAGGAAGAAGGGUUGAGAAGAAUAGCUGGGAAGAAGGGGUCAAUAUUCCAAUUCUCAUAAAAGUCUGCAAACAUAUGGCCUUUGCCAGCACAGCUGCUUUCCUGCCACCAUCGACAAUCAAGGUUAAAAUGCACGAUGCUCAUUCAAAGGGAAAUGCAGUGGGAAAAUUUUCACUCCACUGUUUGUGUAGUUUUAUUUCCAAAGGCAAAUUGAAAAGUUGCAGUGUAUUUAAGCUUGGUUUGACCUAAAUGACCAACCAAACAAGAAAUAAAUACCCUUUUGGGCUGAGUUUGA